AGGCUGCAACUCGCCUGCAUGAAGUCGGAAUUGCUAGUAAUCGCAGAUCAGCAUGCUGCGGUGAAUACGUUCCCGGGCCUUGUACACACCGCCCGUCACACCAUGGGAGUCGGUAACACCCGAAGUCGGUAGUCUAACCGAAAGGAGGACGCCGCCGAAGGUGGGAUUGAUGACUGGGGUGAAGUCGUAACAAGGUAAC
rnacentral:rRNA from 1 species